AUGCCCUACGACCGCUACGUGGCCAUCUGCAACCCCCUGAUUUACACAGCUAUUAUGACGCAGCGGGUCUGCAGGGAGUUAGUGAUAGGGGUCUAUACCUAUGGCUUCCGAAACUCUGUGAUACAGACAGCUCUGACGUUUCAGCUGUCUUUCUGCAACUCCGACGUCAUCCACCACUUCUACUGUGCUGACCCCCCUCUCCUGGCCCUCUCCUGCUCUGACACCCACAACAAAGAAAAGCAGCUCAUGAUCUUCUCUGCAGUAAAUCUCACUGGGUCCCUCCUUACCAUCUUCAUCUCCUACAUUUGCAUCCUCUUUUCCAUUAUAAAAAUCCAGUCUUCCGAGGGCAAGUGCAGAGCAUUUUCCACCCGUGCCUCCCACCUCACUGUCGUCACCAUCUUUUAUGGCACACUAUUUUUCAUGUACCUGCAGCAACCAAAAGCGGGGAAUUCAUGGAAGCCAAACAAAGUAGUCUCUGUGUUUUAUAGUCUUGUAAUUCCCAUGCUUAACCCUCUUAUCUA